rnacentral:rRNA from 1 species
CUACGGGACGCAGCAGCUAAGAAUCUUCCGCAAUGGGAGCAAUCCUGACGGAGCGAUGCCGCGUGAAUGAUGAAGGCAGAAAUGUUGUAAAGUUCUUUUAUACGGGACGAAUAAGGAUACUCAGAGAAAGGGUGUUUGAUGACGGUACCGUAUGAAUAAGCCUCGGCUAACUACGUGCCAGCAGCCGCGGUAAUACGUAGGAGGCAAGCGUUGUUCGGAUUUAUUGGGCGUAAAGGGCAUGUAGGCUGUCAAAUAAGUGUGAAUUGAAAGACCGAAGCUUAACUUCGAGUUAGGUUUGCAAACUGUUUGACUAGAAUUCAGAAGGGGUAACUGGAAUUCCACGUGUAGGGGUGAAAUCUGUAGAUAUGUGGAAGAAUACUUGUGGCGAAGGCGAGUUACUGGUCUUGAAUUGACGCUAAUGUGCGAAAGUGUGGGGAGCGAACAGGAUUAGAUACCCCAGUAGUC